ACCGUAGGAGGCAAGCGAUAUCCGGAGUGACUGGGCGUAAAGAGCGUGUAGGCGGUUGAGUAAGAUGCGUGUGAAAGCGCCCGGCUAAACUGGGCGAGGACAGGCAAGACUGCUGAGCUAGAGGCCGAUAGAGGGGUGCGGAAUUCCGGGUGUAGCGGUGAAAUGUGUAGAGAUCCGGAGGAACACCAGUGGUGUAGACGGCGCCCUGGAUCGGACCUGACGCUGAGACGCGAAAGCGUGGGGAGCGAACGGG
rnacentral:rRNA from 1 species